UAGCUCAGUUGGUUAGAGCGCUACCUUGACAUGGUAGAGGUCGCUAGUUCGAAUCUAGUUACGCCUACCA
rnacentral:tRNA from 1 species